rnacentral:rRNA from 1 species
GUGGGGAAUCUUCCGCAAUGGACGAAAGUCUGACGGAGCAACGCCGCGUGAGUGAUGAAGGUCUUCGGAUUGUAAAGCUCUGUUAAUCGGGACGAAAGAGCCUAGUGUGAAUAAUGCUAGGAAGUGACGGUACCGGAAUAGAAAGCCACGGCUAACUACGUGCCAGCAGCCGCGGUAAUACGUAGGUGGCAAGCGUUGUCCGGAAUUAUUGGGCGUACAGCGCGCGCAGGCGGAUCUGCCAGUCUGUCUUAAAAGUUCGGGGCUUAACCCCGUGAUGGGAUGGAAACUACAGAUCUAGAGUAUCGGAGAGGAAAGUGGAAUUCCUAGUGUAGCGGUGAAAUGCGUAGAUAUUAGGAAGAACACCAGUGGCGAAGGCGACUUUCUGGACGAAAACUGACGCUGAGGCGCGAAAGCCAGGGGAGCGAACGGGAUUAGAUACCCGAGUAGUCC